rnacentral:rRNA from 1 species
AUUGAACGCUGGCGGCAGGCUUAACACAUGCAAGUCGAGCGGGGAAAAGUAGCUUGCUACUGGACCUAGCGGCGGACGGGUGAGUAAUGCUUAGGAAUCUGCCUAUUAGCGGGGGACAACAUCUCGAAAGGGAUGCUAAUACCGCAUACGUCCUACGGGAGAAAGCAGGGGACCUUCGGGCCUUGCGCUAAUAGAUGAGCCUAAGUCGGAUUAGCUAGUUGGUGGGGUAAAGGCCUACCAAGGCGACGAUCUGUAGCGGGUCUGAGAGGAUGAUCCGCCACACUGGGACUGAGACACGGCCCAGACUCCUACGGGAGGCAGCAGUGGGGAAUAUUGGACAAUGGGGGGAACCCUGAUCCAGCCAUGCCGCGUGUGUGAAGAAGGCCUUAUGGUUGUAAAGCACUUUAAGCGAGGAGGAGGCUACUGAGACUAAUACUCUUGGAUAGUGGACGUUACUCGCAGAAUAAGCACCGGCUAACUCUGUGCCAGCAGCCGCCGUAACAC